rnacentral:rRNA from 1 species
CAUCUCGUGUCGUGAGAUGUUGGGUUAAGUCCCGCAACGAGCGCAACCCUUGCCUUUAUUUGCCAGCAUUAAUUUGGGGACUCUAAAGGGACUGCCAGCGACAAGUCGGAGGAAGGUGGGGAUGACGUCAAAUCAUCAUGCCCCUUAUGAUCUGGGCUACACACGUGCUACAAUGGGUGGUACAGAGGGAAGCGAAGCUGUGAGGCGGAGCGAAUCCCAAAAAGCCACUCUCAGUUCCGAUUGCAGGCUGCAACUCCCCUGCAUGAAGUCGGAAUCGCUAGUAAUCGCGGGUCAGCAUACCGCGGUGAAUACGUUCCCGGGUCUUGGACACACCG